UACGUAGGGUGCGAGCGUUGUCCGGAAUUAUUGGGCGUAAAGGGCUCGUAGGCGGUUUGUCGCGUCGGGAGUGAAAACUCAGGGCUCCACCUGAGCGUGCUUCCGAUACGGGCAGACUAGAGGUAUGCAGGGGAGAACGGAAUUCCUGGUGUAGCGGUGGAAUGCGCAGAUAUCAGGAGGAACACCGGUGGCGAAGGCGGUUCUCUGGGCAUGACCUGACGCUGAGGAGCGAAAGCAUGGGGGAGCGAACAGG
rnacentral:rRNA from 1 species